CACAUGCAAGUCGAACGAUGAAGAGCAGCUUGCUGCUUGGAUUAGUGGCGCACGGGUGAGUAAUAUAUAGGUAAUGUGCCUCUUAGUCUGGGAUAGCCAUUGGAAACGAUGAUUAAUACUGGAUACUCCUUCUAACUCUAAUGUUAGUCGGGAAAGUUUUUCGCUAAGAGAUCAGCCUAUAUCCCAUCAGUUAGUUGGUAAGGUAACGGCUUACCAAGGCAAUGACGGGUAGCGGGUUUGAGAGGAUGAUCCGCCACACUGGUACUGAGACACGGACCAGACUCCUACGGGAGGCAGCAGUGAGGAAUAUUGCACAAUGGGGGAAACCCUGAUGCAGCAACGCCGCGUGGAGGAUGACGCAUUUCGGUGUGUAAACUCCUUUUAUAUGUCAAGAAAAUGACGGUAGCAUAUGAAUAAGCACCGGCUAACUCCGUGCCAGCAGCCGCGGUAAUACGGAGGGUGCAAGCGUUACUCGGAAUCACUGGGCGUAAAGGACGCGUAGGCGGAUUGGAAAGUCAGAUGUGAAAUCCUACAGCUUAACUGUAGAACUGCAUUUGAAACUUCUAAUCUAGAGUAUGGGAGGGGGAGAUGGAAUUAGUGGUGUAGGGGUAAAAUCCGUAGAUAUCACUAGGAAUACCGAAAGCGAAGGCGAUCUCCUGGAACAUUACUGACGCUAAGGCGUGAAAGCGUGGGGAGCAAACAGGAUUAGAUACCCUGGUAGUCCACGCCCUAAACGAUGAACACUAGUCGUCGGGAUGCUUGUCAUCUCGGUGAUGCACUUAACAGAUUAAGUGUUCCGCCUGGGGAGUACGGU
rnacentral:rRNA from 1 species